GAUGAACGCUGGCGGCGUGCCUAAUACAUGCAAGUCGAGCGAAAAGACGAGUAGGUUGCUCCUCUGACGUUAGAGGCGGACGGAAGAGUAACAAAUGGAUAACAUAGCUAUGAGAAUGGGGGAAAUUCGGUAAAUAAUACCUCAUACCGUCUAAUAUAGUAAACAGGAUGGUUCAAUAGUGAAAGCGGGUUUUGCGGUCAAUUGUAGAUGGAUCAGCGCCGCAUUAGCUAGUUGGUAAGGUAACGGCUUACCAAGUCGACGAUGCGUAGCCGAACUGAGAGGAUGAUCAGCCACACUGGAACUGAGACACGGCCCAGACUCCUACGGGAGGCAGCAGUAGGGAAUCUUCCGCAAUGGGCGAAAGCCUGAUCGAGCCACGCCGCGUGAGUGAUGAAGGUCUUCGGAUCGUAAAACUCUGUUAUUCGGGAAGAACAAAUGUCUAAGUAACCAUGCACGUCUUGACGGUACCUAAUCAGAAAGCCCCGGCUAACUACGUG
rnacentral:rRNA from 1 species